UACGGAGGGUGCUAGCGUUGUUCGGAAUUAUUGGGCGUAAAGCGCGCGUAGGCGGCUUUGUAAGUUAGAGGUGAAAGCCCGAAGCUCAACUUCGGAAUUGCCUUUAAGACUGCAUCGCUAGAAUUGUGGAGAGGUAAGUGGAAUUCCGAGUGUAGAGGUGAAAUUCGUAGAUAUUCGGAAGAACACCAGUGGCGAAGGCGACUUACUGGACACAUAUUGACGCUGAGGUGCGAAAGCGUGGGGAGCAAACAGG
rnacentral:rRNA from 1 species